rnacentral:rRNA from 1 species
AUUGUAGUCUGCAACUCGACUACAUGAAGCUGGAUAACGCUAGUAAUCGCAGAUCAGAAUGCUGCGGUGAAUACGUUCCCGGGUCUUGUACACACCGCCCGUCACACCAUGGGAGUCGGAAAUGCCCGAAGCCGGUGACCCAACCAAAAGGAGGGAGCCGUCGAAGGCAGGUCUGAUAACUGGGGUGAAGUCGUAACAAGGUAAC